CUGCUUUGAAAAUUACAGAAAACAUCACACAUGCACCGAGAGAACUGCUUUGUCCAUGACAAAGAAAUCCAAAUCAGAUGUUUAAGCAUCUAAAAUAGAGCACUCCUGAUUGAAUAAUCCCAACAAUCACAACACCUAUAUUACAUCUCAUGAUUCAUAAAGUUUUCAUUGUUUAUGUAAAGGAUGAAAACAUUCCCCAUCCUGAUUGUAAAUGUUCCACAAAAAUCAACAAUAUGAAGGCACUCAGUUUCCAGCUGGUCCACCAAAGAGAUAACCCAAAGAAGAUCCACCACCUGGGGCAGAGUGGACCUU
rnacentral:lncRNA from 1 species